rnacentral:rRNA from 1 species
GACGAACGCUGGCGGCGUGCUUAACACAUGCAAGUCGAGCGGUAAGGCCCUUUCGGGGGUACACGAGCGGCGAACGGGUGAGUAACCCGUGGGUGACCUGCCCUCCACUCUGGGAUAAGCCCGGGAAACUGGGUCUAAUACCGGAUAGGACACAUGAUCGCAUGGUUGUGUGUGGAAAGUUUUUUCGGUGGGGGAUGGGCCCGCGGCCUAUCAGCUUGUUGGUGGGGUAAUGGCCUACCAAGGCGGUGACGGGUAGCCGGCCUGAGAGGGCGGCCGGCCACACUGGGACUGAGACACGGCCCAGACUCCUACGGGAGGCAGCAGUGGGGAAUAUUGCGCAAUGGGCGGAAGCCUGACGCAGCGACGCCGCGUGGGGGAUGACGGCCUUCGGGUUGUAAACCUCUUUCGCCAGGGACGAAGCUUUUGUGACGGUACCUGGAGAAGAAGCACCGGCCAACUACGUGCCAGCCGCCGCCGUAA